UGAGGAAUAUUGGUCAAUGGGCGCAAGCCUGAACCAGCCAUCCCGCGUGCAGGAAGACGGCACUAUGGGUUGUAAACUGCAUUUCCAGGGGGAGAAACUUACGUACGCGUUACGUAACUGACGGUACCCUGGGAAUAAGCAUCGGCUAACUCCGUGCCAGCAGCCGCUGUAAUACGGAGGAUGCAAGCGUUAUCCGGAUUCAUUGGGUUUAAAGGGUGCGUAGGCGGACUAUUAAGUCAGUGGUGAAAUCCUGCAGCUCAACUGUAGAACUGCCGUUGAUACUGAUAGUCUUGAGUUUGGUUAAGGUAGGCAGAAUGUGUAAUGUAGCGGUGGAAUGCUUAGAUAUUACACAGAACACCGAUUGCGUAGGCAGCUUACUGAGCCGACACUGACG
rnacentral:rRNA from 1 species